UACGAGGGGGGCAAAUGUUGUUCGGAAUCACUGGGCGUAAAGGGCGCGUAGGCGGCCUGUUAAGUCGAACGUGAAAUCCCUGGGCUCAACCCAGGAACUGCGUCCGAUACUGGCAGGCUUGAAUUCGGGAGAGGGAUGCGGAAUUCCAGGUGUAGCGGUGAAAUGCGUAGAUAUCUGGAGGAACACCGGUGGCGAAGGCGGCAUCCUGGACCGAUAUUGACGCUGAGGCGCGAAAGCCAGGGGAGCAAACGGG
rnacentral:rRNA from 1 species